CCUACGGGGGGCAGCAGUGGGGAAUAUUGGACAAUGGGCGAAAGCCUGAUCCAGCCAUGCCGCGUGUGUGAAGAAGGCCUUCGGGUUGUAAAGCACUUUCAGUGGGGAAGAAAGCCUUGGGGCUAAUACCCUCGAGGAAGGACAUCACCCACAGAAGAAGCACCGGCUAACUCUGUGCCAGCAGCCGCGGUAAUACGGAGGGUGCGAGCGUUAAUCGGAAUUACUGGGCGUAAAGCGCGCGUAGGCGGUCUGAUAAGCCGGUUGUGAAAGCCCCGGGCUCAUCCUGGGAACGGCAUCCGGAACUGUCAGGCUAGAGUGCAGGAGAGGAAGGUAGAAUUCCCGGUGUAGCGGUGAAAUGCGUAGAGAUCGGGAGGAAUACCAGUGGCGAAGGCGGCCUUCUGGACUGACACUGACGCUGAGGUGCGAAAGCGUGGGUAGCAAACAGGAUUAGAUACCCUUGUAGUC
rnacentral:rRNA from 1 species